AGUGAACGCUGGCGGUAGGCCUAACACAUGCAAGUCGAACGGCAGCACAGUAAGAGCUUGCUCUUACGGGUGGCGAGUGGCGGACGGGUGAGGAAUACAUCGGAAUCUACUUUUUCGUGGGGGAUAACGUAGGGAAACUUACGCUAAUACCGCAUACGACCUACGGGUGAAAGCAGGGGAUCUUCGGACCUUGCGCGAUUGAAUGAGCCGAUGUCGGAUUAGCUAGUUGGCGGGGUAAAGGCCCACCAAGGCGACGAUCCGUAGCUGGUCUGAGAGGAUGAUCAGCCACACUUGAACCGAGACACGGUCCAGACUCCUACGGGAGGCAGCAGUGGGGAAUAUUGGACAAUGGGCGCAAGCCUGAUCCAGCCAUACCGCGUGGGUGAAGAAGGCCUUCGGGUUUUAAAGCCCUUUUGUUGGGAAAGAAAAGCAGCAGGUUAAUACCCCGCUGUUCUGACGGUACCCAAAGAAUAAGCACCGGCUAACUUCGUG
rnacentral:rRNA from 1 species